rnacentral:rRNA from 1 species
UACGAAGGGGGCUAGCGUUGCUCGGAAUCACUGGGCGUAAAGCGCGUGUAGGCGGCUCGGUAAGUCUGCUCUGAAAGUCCAAGGCUCAACCUUGGGAUGCGGGUGGAUACUGCUGGGCUCGAGUCCGGAAGAGGCGAGUGGAAUUCCUGGUGUAGCGGUGAAAUGCGCAGAUAUCAGGAGGAACACCAAUGGCGAAGGCAGCUCGCUGGGACGUGACUGACGCUGAGACGCGAAAGCGUGGGGAGCAAACAGG